rnacentral:lncRNA from 1 species
UGAACACAAGGUUGUCUAGGUUUCGCGAGCUAGAACACCGACCACAUGAGUUGGUCAUAUUGCCUUGAGAGGGGGAGGAGAAGGAUGCAAGACCUGGAGGUCAUCGCCUAGGGGAAGCCCCCGAGCUUGAAAGAGAGUGGUCUGUCGAAUAGGUCGAACAACCCCCGAGUAUUAGGAAUAGCUCAGGCAAAGGAAUAGUAAGGCAAUAGGUACGCAAAGAACCUUGGAGGUUUUAUUCAUUCAAUAAAAAGGAGAAAAUAAAGUACAUAGCUUUUGAAUCCUAAGGGUAGAAGCGCCGUAGUUGCUCAAUGUU